rnacentral:rRNA from 1 species
UCCCAGUUCGGAUUGUAGUCUGCAACCCGACUACAUGAAGCUGGAAUCGCUAGUAAUCGCGGAUCAGAAUGCCGCGGUGAAUACGUUCCCGGGUCUUGUACACACCGCCCGUCACACCAUGGGAGUCGGAAAUGCCCGAAGCCGGUGACCAAACCAAUAAGGAAGGAGCCGUCGAAGGCAGGUCUGAUAACUGGGUGAAGUCGUAACAAGGUAAC